GACGUAGGUGGCGAACGUUAUCCGGAAUUAUUGGGCGUAAAGGGUGCGUAGGUGGUUUGAUAAGUUAUUGGUGGGAAAUCGAGGCUCAACCUCGCGGAAACUAGUAAUACUAUCAGGCUCGAGUUCAGGAGAGGUUAACGGAAUCCUGGUGGAGUGGUAAAAUGCGUAGAUAUCAGGAAGAACAUCAAUAACGGCGAAGGCAGUUAACUAUUCUGUUACUGACACUGAGGCACGAAAGCGUGGGGAGCAAACGG
rnacentral:rRNA from 1 species